rnacentral:rRNA from 1 species
AUUGAUGUACAACCUCACCAGAGUACCAAUUGGAGGGCAAGUCUGGUGCCAGCAGCCGCGGUAAUUCCAGCUCCGAUAGCGUAUAUUAAACUUGUUGCAGUUAAAAAGCUCGUAGUUGUAUUUCAGCCUCGCGUUUUUUCCCUGGUUUUGGGUCUUUUCGCUGGCUUUGUUUUUACUUUGAGAAAAUUAGAGUGUUUCAAGCAGACUUUUGUCUUGAAUACUUCAGCAUGGAAUAAUAGAGUAGGACCUUGGUUCUAUUUUGUUGAUUUCGAGCCUUGGUAAUGGUUAGUAGGACCUUGGUCUAUUUUGUUG